rnacentral:lncRNA from 1 species
CGCUCCCCUCCUCCUCCUCCUCCUCUCUCCGCUCCCCACCUCCUGCAGCCGCCACCGGAGGGGCCCCCGGGGGGGGUAAAAGGGUGAAAAAAGGGGGAUCUGAGGCGGGGGGUGGAUAAAGGGAGCUGUGAGGGGGCCGGGCCGGCGGGGGGGGUGGGGGGUGGAGGCCCCUCUCACAUGACAGCGGUGUUUGGCCCCGUGAUCGCCGCGUCGCCGCGGGGCCGCUGGGCCUGAGCGGCGCGGGGGGGGCCUCGGGGCUGAGCCCCCCCCGGUAAAAUCCGGGGCUCCCCCCCCCCCCCCCCCAGAAAAAAAAAAAGGGAGAAAAGGAAAGAAAAUCGUCCGUUAAAAAUCGGCUGAGGGAAAAGCGCGGCCCCCCCCCCCGCCGAGUGCGGGGUACGCGAGUGGGGGGGUCUGCGGUGCCCCCCCCAUGGACAUGUUGGACCCCGGGUUGGACGCUGCCGCUGCCUCUGCUGCACCCAGGCACGAGAAGAGCCAGGACGGCGAGGAGGGCGUUGAGCUGCAGGAGGGUGAGUGGG